CUCACACCCAUGUGUGUAGGACCCCAAAUGAUCACCAUUAAAUUUGGCACAGAUCUCUAAAAAAGUUACCACAUGGGUGUGGGACUUGACUUUUCCAGAGAUCUGUGUCAAAUUUAAUGGUGAUCCUUUAGGGUCCUACACACAUGGGUGUGAG
rfam:Amborella trichopoda AMTR_V1.0_contig_16478, whole genome shotgun sequence.